GUUCAGUACUUUAACAGAUCGAUAAAUUUUAAAUGUUAUUUUUAUGAUUUUCUGCUUUUUUACUUUAGUACUUUAUAAUUAAUUUAAAGUUUGUCAAUUUAGUAUUCUAUGAUUUUAUUUUUCUCUUUUCAUGAACUCCUCCUUCGUUAACAUUUUUAAUUUCUAUCAUACUUUCUCAUCACUCGUAGUUCUCAAACUUUACAUUGUUACAGUUUCUGAUUUAAACUCUUUUAAAUUAUUAUUGUAACUAAGUUUUACUUUUCAAUUUAGAUGACUUAU
rnacentral:lncRNA from 1 species